rnacentral:rRNA from 1 species
CUGCCAAUUGCCAAGCUGUCCGAGAAGAUGUUGUGCCAGCGCAUGGGGAUCAUUGAUGAAGGGCAGCAAGUCAAUGAGGAGGCAAUAGACAAGUUUGUGGCCAUGUUCCAAGGCCAGCUGCCUGACAUCACGAUGUCAGCUCUCCGGGCUCUGUUCAACCUCGACUGCGACCUGGCGAACGCUGUUGAAGCUGCACUGCUCGAGCACGGUGGACAGGCAGGGACUAAGCUCCAGGGAACAAGCGUGGAUGUAGCCAGCGAGGCGGCGUGA